CAGCAGCCGCGGUAAUACAGAGGGUGCGAGCGUUAAUCGGAUUUACUGGGCGUAAAGCGUGCGUAGGCGGCUUUUUAAGUCGGAUGUGAAAUCCCCGGGCUUAACCUGGGAACUGCAUUUGAAACUGUCAGGCUGGAGUCUUGUAGAGGGGGGUGGAAUUCCAGGUGUAGCGGUGAAAUGCGUAGAGAUCUGGAGGAAUACCGGUGGCGAAGGCGGCCCCCUGGACAAAGACUGACGCUCAGGUGCGAAAGCGUGGGGAGCAAACAGGAUUAGAUACCCCAGUAGUCCCUGUCUCUUAUAC
rnacentral:rRNA from 1 species